rnacentral:rRNA from 1 species
AUUGAACGCUGGCGGCAUGCUUUACACAUGCAAGUCGAACGGUAACAGGCCGCCAGGUGCUGACGAGUGGCGCACGGGUGAGUAAUGCAUCGGAACGUGCCCAGUCGUGGGGGAUAACUACUCGAAAGAGUAGCUAAUACCGCAUACGAUCUAUGGAUGAAAUCGGGGGACCGUAAGGCCUCGCGCGAUUGGAUCGGCCGAUGUCAGAUUAGGUAGUUGGUGGGGUAAAGGCUCACCAAGCCAACGAUCUGUAGCUGGUCUGAGAGGACAACCAGCCACACUGGGACUGAGACACGGCCCAGACUCCUACGGGAGGCAGCAGUGGGGAAUUUUGGACAAUGGGCGCAAGCAUGAUCCAGCAAUGCCGCGUGCAGGAAGAAGGCCUUCGGGUUGUAAACUGCUUUUGUACGGAACGAAACGGCUCUGGUUAAUACCCGGGGCUAAUGACGGUACCGUAAGAAUAAGCACCGGCUAACUACGUG